UUUUCUCCACUUUUAGGUAAAAUAAUAUCUUUUAUUGUUUUUACUUUAAAAAAUAAAUUUCAUACUUAGGUUGAGAGCAACUUUAUGCAUAUCCCCUAAUUUAAAUCAUUAAGCAUCCUGCUUCUCAUUACUUUAAAAUUAGCUGUUCUCAUACCCUUGGUUGUCUCCUUAAUACAUUAAUUAUUCAAAAGUGUAGAGCUAAAGCUUUAAAAAUAUUUUAUUAUUUUUUGAAAUCUUUUAUUAUUGUUUAAUGUUAUACUUUAUUUGAAGAUAUGGAUUGUAUUACUCACCUUUCUGACUUAGAUUUUUUUGUUGUUUUCCUCACAGUUAUUUUGGAUGGAGAUUUUUUAAAAAUCCUGUUAUCAUUUAAGAAGGAGGUAUAUUUUGCAAUGCAAAUACAAUAUGUUUUAUGAACAAAUGAUAAUUUUAUAAAAUAAGUUUUGAAACCAUCAUUAAUUCCACUUUGUUAAUCAUAUGAUUCCAAUCUUUUAUGUCAUUAUUUUAGGAUUUUUAUGAUGACCAAUAUUCAAAUUUAAGAAAUUUGUGUUGGGAAAUUCUAGGACGUAGAACCCAUAAUGAAGCACUGUAGUAAUGAGGCGUAUGCUAGUGGACUUGGAUUUGCUGCAGGGCAUGGCUACCAGUGGAAGGGGCUGUUUGUGAUGGUAGAGGAGCACAAAGUCAUGACUGAUCCUUGUUGGACCAUCUUGCUGGAAGCACAGAAGAGCUGCUCAACUUUCCUCAAAAAUGCUGGGUGGAAAUGGGCACAGCAAUGGCAGUAAAGCUAGGGGAGAAGCAGAGCAGGUAAGUUGCCUUUGAGGUCAUCUUGGAUGGAUCCUCAGUUGAUGCUGUACAUUGUAGGAGAGAGCAUGAGAAUUGCUUUGCAUCUCUGCAGAUAUAAAAAUAUUUUAGCUUGAGCUCUUCAAACUCGUGUUUUUCCUCAAGGUUCCAAAAUGGGAUAUUGCUUUUGGAUAUUUUGUUUUUGUUUUGGGUCGUGUGAUGUCCUCCAGUACUUUGGGACUCUGCUACCAAAAAGGCCACCACUGACUGUGACUCUUUGACCUUGUACCUCUAAGAUCAUCAGCCAACAUAAAACUUUUCUUUAUAACUCAUUUGGUCUCUGGCAUCAGCAACAGAAAACGGACUAUCUCCAGGCAUGUGGUCUACAUCUACAGCCAGAGUUCCUAUCAGGACCACACUCCAUCCCCCAUGGGGAACAGGGCUCCCUUCCCACCCUGUCCCACCACCCCAGUCCCUGCUGCUGCUCUCUGCAUCUUCCAAAUUCACUGCUUGCUCUUGAAAAUUUGUCUAAAGUCUUCUUCUGGGAAAAGCCAUAUUAAGACAAAUAGUAAUUUUUAUUAUUUGUUUUAGCCUCAUCAAUCUUUGUAAACAAGCAUUGCUGCAAGUGGAAGGUGAGAAAUGUCCAAGCUAAGAAGCUAUGCAUGGCUGGCUUCAGAGCAGCUGAAGAUAUCACACAAAUCGUUUAUCACACUGUGCUUGAUCUGACUGCAGAAAUGUGAUUCAGCCAAUCCUUGGAGUGUGGAGGGGCUAUUGUUCUGUUCCAGCCCUGACUUCACAGUCUGCUGGCUGUUCUGAGAUCACUGAGUACACAUAAUAUUAAAUGACAACUCCUCCUGCAGGUGAAGCUUGGAGGUCUUCCUCCUGGGCCAACUGAUAGAAGACAGGCCUAGGUCAACUAGGGGCAGAAUCCAGCCAUGGGCAUAAAGUGCUGUAUCCUUGGCAAAGAGCAUGAUAAACACACAAAUAAAUAAAAACUGUCACCUUUAUAAGCAAUAAGAAGAGACCCCAUAGACAAGAAAGGGUGAAUAUUUGGGUAACAAUACAGAAACAGUUCUUAAAGUCUCACGAUUAAAAACAAAAUCAAAAGAUGAUGGAUUGAUAGAUAACAGGAUAGAGAGCCUCUCUGAGAAAAACAACUCAGAUGCUAGAAUUUAGCACCAUGGAGAAGACCAGAUGAAAGGAGAGGGAUUCUUACAACCCAGGAAGAAUCUGAGGAAAAAGAAAAAAAAAAGAGAAAGGAAGGAAGGAAAAACAUGGAUGAAAGUCGGAACCAGACACACUCUCACUGGAGCCAAUCCCGCACUGUGCUGGGUGUGUCUUGGAGGCAGUGCUGAAAUUGGGGUUGGUGAGCCCAAGACCCUUGGUGGGAGGAUGUGGCACAAUGGAGAGUGGAACCAAUCUGGAAAGCUGCACUAGCCCAUGAUGAGUGCUAGGAAUUUGGUCCCGUGGAGGGGGUGACCAGCUGGACAACAUACUGGAGUUGGGCAAGGAUGGGCCUGAACCUGCAACCACAGUGGCAUCAGUCAGCCACUCCUGGCCCAAAGAGGACUGGAGGGAUUGAUUGGGCUGGGUCAUGCCCCUGGUCAGGACCCAAUAGCCAGAGAUGAAACUGUCCCUGUGAUGUCUGCACCUCACAGACUAAUGUGGUGAAGGCACUGGCUGUUUGACUGGCUUAGAGGAGAGGGGCCAGCCCACAUCACCCCUGUGUGCACCUCACAGAUGAACGUAAACUGGAGAGGGCUGCAAUCCUCUAACCAGGAUGCUUCAGAAAAACCAUAAGCAAUACAGAAAGGGCCAGAGACCUCCACCUUACACCUGUCUGAAAGAAACCAUAAACAUGACAAGAGAAAGAAACAAGAAAAAACCUCCAGCUGCUGACCCAGGGAAAGUAAGUCCAGGAGAGAUAAAUACAGAAGAAAUCGUAGGGUAGCAAGCAUGCAAUAUUGGACACAGCAUCAGGGACAUAAAGAAAUACCUUUAUGACCUCAUAGACAAGCUUAAAACUGAAAUUGUAAUUCAAGUGAAGCAAGAUAUAAAAAGAUUAAUAAAAGAAAAUGCUAAGCACCUCUCAAGAAGAUAUAGAUGGAAGAAUGGAGGAACCCAGAAAAAGGAGAGAAACCUUUGAUGAAGAAUAUAAACAAAAUCUAGAAUACAUGAAACAGAUCCAAAGAGAUUACCAGGAAAUUUAAAACUCCAUUGAAAGCUGGCAAAAUGCCUUGACAGAAACUAAAGUUAGCCUUUCGAAACUUGAAGAUAGAUUUGUAAUGUGUGAUCAUGAAAGAAAAGACCUCUUAAAAAUAAUAAGGAACCAGGAAGUAAUAAUUCAAAGGCUAGAAGACAACAAGAGGAUCUAUAACUUAAGAAUAAAAAACAUGAGCAAAGGAGCAUGAGUAACCACAAUGAAUUACAAAAGCUAUUCACAGAAAUAAUUAGGGAAAACUUCCCAAGUAUAGGAAAAAGCAAUGAUACCCAGAUAAAUGAGGCAUACAGAACUCCAACCAACUACAACCAAAACAGAUCUACACCCAGGCAUAUAAUAAUAAUGAUCCCAGAAAUUCACCACAAGAACAAAAUGUUAAAAGCAGUCAGAGAAAGGAGCAGAUCACCUAUAAAGGAAAAUCCAUCAAAAUAAUGACAGACUUAUCAACACAAACUAUCAAAUGCAUGUAGAGAUUCACACACGUGUAGAACUUCUAAAUAAUUUACAAGAAUAGAUUAUAUAAUGCACGAUGUAAUGAACAGAUACUCUGAAGAAAAAGAGACACUAAGAUAUCCAGUGCUAAUUCUGUAGCACCAUGAUACAAAAUCUAGCAAUACUAUUAUUCUCUGUCCAGAGUGAUUUUAGUCUGUUUUUUUUUUGUUUAAUUUCAACAUACAUAAAAAUAUGGACAGCUAUUUUGAAGAGAAUGAGAGACAUUAUGGCAGCCAUUGUUGACUUCCCUAUUGUCUGGUCUUGAAGACCUAAAAUGCCUUCAUCAUCCUGUUCUGAUCAGUUUAGUACUAUUUUGUUCAGUAUGAAUUCACUGUGUGUGAAGAUAUGGGCAAUUACUUGGAAGAAAACAAGAGACAAUAUGAUAGACAGUGAAGAUCUGGUGGUCUUGCUUUGAAAUCUGUGUUUCUUAACUUGUUUUCUUAUUUCUGUUUUGUUAUGUUUAAUUUUACCCUCUUAAAAUAAAAAAAUUAUAAAAAAAUCAAUUAUCAAUAAAAGUUAAAAUUUUA